rnacentral:rRNA from 1 species
UACGGAGGGUGCAAGCGUUAUCCGGAUUCACUGGGUUUAAAGGGUGCGUAGGCGGGCAGAUAAGUCAGUGGUGAAAUCUCUGGGCUUAACCCAGAAACUGCCGUUGAUACUAUUUGUCUUGAAUAUCAUGGAGGUAAGCGGAAUAUGUCAUGUAGCGGUGAAAUGCUUAGAUAUGACAUAGAACACCGAUAGCGAAGGCAGCUUACUACAUGUUCAUUGACGCUGAGGCACGAAAGCGUGGGGAGCAAACAGG